AAUACGUAGGGAGCGAGCGUUAUCCGGAUUCAUUGGGCGUAAAGCGCGCGUAGGCGGUCCGUUAAGCGGUUAUGUCAAAACCGGGGGCUCAACCCCCGGUCGCAUUCCGAACUGGCGGACUCGAGUUCGGUAGAGGAAGACGGAAUUCCCAGUGUAGCGGUGAAAUGCGCAGAUAUUGGGAAGAACACCGAUGGCGAAGGCAGUCUUCUGGGCCGCAACUGACGCUGAGGUGCGAAAGCUAGGGGAGCGAA
rnacentral:rRNA from 1 species